rnacentral:rRNA from 1 species
AGGAUGUUGGCUUAGAAGCAGCCAUCAUUUAAAGAAAGCGUAACAGCUCACUGGUCUAAAUAAGGGUUCUUGCGCCGAAAAUGUAACGGGGCUAAAGCCAUGCACCGAAACUGAGGGCACUAUUUAUAGUGCGGUAGCAGAGCGUUCUGUAAGCCUGCGAAGGGAUACUCGUGAGAGAUCCUGGAGGUAUCAGAAGUGCAAAUGUUGACAUGAGUAACGAUAAAGAGGGUGAGAGACCCUCUCGCCGAAAGACCAAGGGUUCCUGCUUAAAGUUAAUCUGAGCAGGGUUAGCCGGCUCCUAAGGCGAGGCCGAAAGGCGUA